UACGUAGGGGGCGAGCGUUGUCCGGAGUUACUAGGCGUAAAGCGCUUGUAGGCGGUCCACCAAGUUUGGGGUGACAGUUGCCGACUUAAUCGGCAAAGUGCCUCAAAGACUGGCGGACUUGAGGGCCACAGAGGGACAUGGAACUCCAGGUGUAGUGGUGAAAUGCGUAGAUAUCUGGAAGAACACCAAAGGCGAAGGCAGUGUCCUGGGUGGUCGCUGACGCUGAGAGGCGAAAGCCAGGGGAGCGAACGGG
rnacentral:rRNA from 1 species